rnacentral:rRNA from 1 species
UACGGGAUAAUAUAUUUGAGAGGCAUCUCUUGAAUAUCAAAGGUGGGCCAGUACAGGAUGGACCCGCGUCUGAUUAGCUAGUUGGUAAGGUAACGGCUUACCAAGGCGACGAUCAGUAGCCGACCUGAGAGGGUGAUCGGCCACAUUGGAACUGAGACACGGUCCAAACUCCUACGGGAGGCAGCAGGGGGGAAUAUUGCACAAUGGGCGAAAGCCUGAUGCAGCAACGCCGCGUGAGUGAUGAAGGCCUUCGGGUCGUAAAACUCUGUCCUCAAGGAAGAUAAUGACGGUACUUGAGGAGGAAGCCCCGGCUAACUACGUGCCAGCAGCCGCGGUAAUACGUAGGGGGCUAGCGUUAUCCGGAUU